CUCUCUGUUAAUCUCAUUGCAUUAUCUUCUUCACUUUCCUCAGGUUGAACCAGAUGUUGGAGAUAAAAUUCCUCAUAGAAAAAAAUUCACGGUCUUUUUCACUCUCACUCUCUCGAGAUCUCAAACAAUUUUGAUCGGUUUCUUCCGCCAUGAUCCGCUAAAACAUGUCGCCGUCGGCGAGAAUGGAAGGAAUCUAAGGUCUCCUGCGACGAUGCCUUCGCCGUGAUCUGCAACAAGUACGACCGAUACGGCAUCGACAAGUAGAAGGACUCUAAUGUCUCCGGCGACGAUGCCUUCGCUCGCCUCUACUCUGCCAUCGAGUUCGACAUUGAAGCUGCUCUUCAGAAAGCGGAGCUUGCUUCAAAAGAGAAAAGUAGGGCAUUUGCAGUUGCUCUGAAUGCCGUGAUUCGCCGGACCAAGGCUCGAUUGCUUAAAGAGGUUCCCAAGUUGCAGAGAUUGGCUGUAAAGAAGGUUAAAGGGCUUUCAUCUGAAAAGUUUGUUGCUCGUAAUGAGUUGGUUGUAAGGCUUGUUUACAGAAAAAGACAUAACUGGAAGAAACCACAGUUUUGCUUGGGAAAAAAAAAAGCCUAUGUAGAAUUGAAUUGAUUGACAACAGGUCAAUCAGUUUCCCCUCUUAAAAAUGAUGCCUCUUGGAAACAAUCUUGUAAAUUGAAAUGUAAAGGCCGUCUUCAAUGGAUUUUUGUGUCAUUCUUUACUUCCCAUUCAGUUUUGAGCAUUUCUAUGUGCUGAGAUUAAGGUUGGGGUAGUUUAGUUGGAAUGAAGUUGGAAGCAAGCAGAUUUUUGAGCUUGUGUGUUUGGUCUAUGAGGUUUUUGCCUUGUUGGGUUUUGCGGUUGUUCUUGAAUUUUGUGCUGCUGAAGUUGUGUGUUUUUUUUUGUUGCAGUGAGUAUCAUUUCCCUUCAUAUUGUUGAAUAAGGGACCUCACUUAUUCUGAGCAAAAAUUAUUGAACCAGGAAGGAAUGAAGAAUUAAAACUGGACUCCUGUAAUUAAUAAUGGAAGAUGUUUGAACCAUCUAUAUGGUGUAAAAUCUUGUAAAUAUUGUAGAAAAUGCUUGAAGGUAUAAGUAGACCCUUGUUCAUCAACCCAAUGGGUUGUGGAUGGCUGGUUGGUGGGAGCGACCUCUCUGUUUGUUUAUGUUUAUU